GAUGAACGCUAGCGGCAGGCUUAAUACAUGCAAGUCGAGGGGCAGCACGAAUAGCAAUAUUUGGUGGCGACCGGCGCACGGGUGCGUAACACGUAUACAAUCUACCUUCAACAGGGGGAUAGCCUUUCGAAAGAGAGAUUAAUACCCCGUAAUAUAUUUAGUGGCAUCAUUAGAUAUUGAAAGUUCCGACGGUUGAAGAUGAGUAUGCGUCUGAUUAGCUAGUUGGUGAGGUAAUGGCUCACCAAGGCUACGAUCAGUAGGGGAUCUGAGAGGACUAACCCCCANACUGGUACUGAGACACGGACCAGACUCCUACGGGAGGCAGCAGUAAGGAAUAUUGGUCAAUGGAGGCAACUCUGAACCAGCCAUGCCGCGUGCAGGAUGAAGGCCCUAUGGGUCGUAAACUGCUUUUACACAAGAGAAACCCGGUACGUGUACCGGAUUGAUAGUAUUGCAGGAACUAAGCAUCGGCUAACUUCGUGCCAGCACG
rnacentral:rRNA from 1 species